CGUGUAGGCGGUCAGAUAAGUGGAAUGUGAAAUGCCCCGGCUCACCCGGGGACCGGCAUCCCAAACUGCCUGGCUUGAGUAUGGGAGAGGAUGGAGGAAUUCCUGGUGUAGCGGUGAAAUGCGUAGAUAUCAGGAGGAACACCGGUGGCGAAGGCGUCCAUCUGGCCCAAUACUGACGCUGAGGCGCGAAAGCUAGGGGAGCAAACG
rnacentral:rRNA from 1 species